GGGACUGUGGCUCAGUGGUAGAGCACUCAUCUAGCAAAUGUGAGGCACUGGGUUGAGCCUCAGUACCA
rnacentral:tRNA from 1 species